rnacentral:lncRNA from 1 species
CGGGGUGUCAAUGGUAAAACCCAAAGAACAUGGCGAGGUAAAAGUUACUUAAAUAAUUUUAAAAAAAUAUAAAUAUAAACAUAUAUAAGAGCGGUAAAAUAAAACUAUAUGUUUUGUGUUUAAUAACAGGAAGGUGCUAUGGGGUCCGAUGGUGCGUCAGCUGAGGAUGAUGAUAAUUCAGAAUCAGAUGAGGGUACGACUGAGACAUCUUCAGAGGAUGGAGAGAGGCGGCCUUUAAGCAGAACAACCGUAAUAUGUACCUGUUGUUUUUGUGUGAAGCAAGAUGUUAAAAAAAAGUCUGUAAAAAGUAAGGAGAGUGACCAGAAAAGCUGUGAAGAAGAAGAAGAUGCCAUUAUGGUUGAUAUUAUUAGAGCUAUUGUAGUAAAAGCCUUUUACCACUGUUUGAAAAAACAACUUUUGGAAAACUGUGCAGCCUGCACUGUAAAUAAGUCCAACCCUUUUAGUCACCCUUGUAUUUUUUGGGAUCGCUCAGAAGUAUUUUACCAGCUUAGACGUAUUUCUUCUAAACUGAACGCGGCCCAGCUUGUAAAUAUAAUUAUAGCUGAAGGCUACAAACUGAAAAAGCUUAACAUAACCACUGAAACUAUAACCAAAGUUGUUAAAAUGAUUAGGGAGGUUGCAAAAACAUCUGAUCCAGUGGCCUUGCUGGUAGACCUGUCAAAAGAGGUGGCCCCCGAUAUUGGCCGAGCGGUGUGUAGCAGGGUUCGCCAAAUGGAUUAUAAAACUUUUUACAUGCAAGCUUGUGACCCUAGAGGCUUAAAAAAUAUAUAUUAAUUAAGAUGCAUUGUAAAAAUUUGUAUUACAGUUUUUAUAUUAUUUUGCUUAUGCGUUAAAAAUGUAUGUGAUUGUACCGUAUAUUACUUGGCCGAUUGGUGUGUAGCAGGGUUUGUAAAAUGGAUUAUAAAAGUUUUUACAUACAAGCUUGUGACCCUAGAGGCUUAAAAAAUAUAUAUUAAUUAAGAUGCAUUGUAAAAAAAUUUGUAUCACAGUUUUUAUAUUAUUUUGCUUAUGCGUUAAAAAAAGGUAUGUAAUUGUACCGUAUAUUACUUUGCUGCUGCUUUAAAAGUCAAAUGUGU